GAGCACAUGAUGUUACAAGGAGAUGCUACUGAGAUUUCACAUCAUUGAUGUAUCUUAAACCGAGCUUUUUAAAACUGAUGCUUG
rnacentral:snoRNA from 1 species